rnacentral:rRNA from 1 species
GAUGAACGCUAGCGGCAGGCUUAACACAUGCAAGUCGAGGGGCAGCACUGGUAGCAAUACCUGGUGGCGACCGGCGCAAGGGUGCGUAACGCGUGAGCAACAUGCCCGUAUCAGGGGAAUAAUCCAGGGAAACUUGGUCUAAUACCCCAUAGUAAAUAUUAAAGGCAUCUUUAAUAUUUUAAAGCUUUGGUGGAUACGGAUUGGCUCGCGUGACAUUAGCUGGAUGGUAAGGUAACGGCUUACCAUGGCUACGAUGUCUAGGGGUUCUGAGAGGAAGAUCCCCCACACUGGAACUGAGACACGGUCCAGACUCCUAAGGGAGGCAGCAGUGAGGAAGAUUGGACAAUGGAUGGAAAUCUGAUCCAGCCAUGCCGCGUGCAGGAAGACGGCCCUAUGGGUUGUAAACUGCUUUUAUAUGGGAGCAAUAAGGCCUACGUGUAGGUUGAUGAGAGUACCAUAUGAAUAAGCACCGGCUAACUCCGUGCCAGCCGCCGCGGUAAGAC